rnacentral:rRNA from 1 species
AGAGAGUGCAAGCGUUAAUCGGAAUUACUGGGCGUAAAGCGCACGUAGGCGGAUACUUAAGUCAGAUGUGAAAGCCCCGAGCUUAACUUGGGAACUGCAUCUGAAACUGGGUGUCUAGAGUAUGGUAGAGGGAAGUGGAAUUUCUGGUGUAGCGGUGAAAUGCGUAGAUAUCAGAAAGAACACCAGUGGCGAAGGCGACUUCCUGGACCAAUACUGACGCUGAGGUGCGAAAGCGUGGGGAGCAAACAGGAUUAGAGACCCUGGUAGUCCACGCCGUCAACGAUGAGAACUAGAUGUUGGGAAGCUUGCUUCUUAGUAUCGAAGCUAACGCGUUAAGUUCUCCGCCUGGGGAGUACGGCCGCAAGGCU